AAAUCUGGAGAUUCUCGGACAAAUCUCCUCCCAAAACCUACUGCCACUUUCAAACGAAGAUCUUUUCCUACCCCUCUCUCUAGUCGUCGCUCGGCGGAUUUCGGGCUCCGACGGCAGGCAAAGCUCGAUCGGACGCUCCCGCCACAGUCGAAGGUCGAAGUCCAGCUGUUCUACCCCCUGCUCGUGCUCUCUCUAUCUUUCGCUAUUUGGGUCUCUCUGCUUGCCCGCGAGGUUGUUGGGAUGUUCGAUUAGAGCUCGAUUUCUGGCAAAUCUUCAAGAUACUUUCAUUCCUUCACCGUUUGAAUCUUCCUAAGCAAUAAUUAGUGAACAAUCCCACAUCUGAUGCCAACUUUUGACGCCAAAUCGGACCACCCUUUCUCAUUCCGGUAUGUUUGAGCCGUAGAACAUUAUGGAUUUGUAGGACAAUUCGGGCUUCGGGGACCGAAAGUCGUGGCUUUCGAUGGAAGCCGGCGGAACUCUGGAUCGCGUUCUCUUCAACGAGCUCGUCGAAACGUCCCGCUCAUUCAAAUCCCUGAUCGUACUCACUCUCAGACUCUCUCUCGCUUUCCGUCGUACUAUCUGCUGUUUUGUAAAUGGAGUUUUGGGGUUUGGUGAUUAUCAGCCGGAGAAGCAUUGGUUGAAUCAAUUACAUUGAAGUUUGAAUCUUUAUAUAUGACAGAGUGAUAUCUGAUUACCAUUGAAGCAGGAUUUUCGAUAUCGCUGUGAAAAGAUAAUGUCGAGUUCUGAUCUUUAAUGUUGGGCAAUGUUGAAGUUUUUUUUAUUUGGGAAUAUAAUGUUAAUAGGAUCGGAAAGCGAGCAAUUCGUAUACGCGACGAGGCUUUGAGAAUCAUUGUCCUGAAAAUUACUUUUUGAAUAUUUUCAGCUCUAUUUGUGUUUCAUCUGAUGUAAGUUUACUUUUGACUUCGAGAACUGGAUGAUGGGUUCUUGUUUUAUGUUGAGGCUAGUCCGAAUAUGAUCGAUCAUUUUAAGUAUUUUAUGCUUGAGUUUGCUUGUUUUAUGUUUUGGGGUCUCAUGUGAUAUUCUGCCCAUUGUAAGUUGCGGAAUUAUUCUCGUCGAAAAAGCAACCAGAUUUUUAUGGUGUCUGCUUUCAUUGAUUUGGCUCAAGCUAUAAUCUGAUGAAGGUCCCCGAACCGAAGGGGAGAAAUGCAGUUCAAUUAAUGACCAAUAAAAAGAAAAGGGACCCCGGGGACAAAGAACAAGGUAAGAAUGGGAGCGGCUAUGACCAAGAUGGUGAUAACUUAUCAGCCUUUUCACCAAGAGGUCCAACAAUGGAGAAAGAAAGCGAAGAGUACAUUCUCCUGAGGGGGCAGUUGGAAGAACUCUAGAGACAGCUGGCUGAGAAAGAUGACCUUCUUAAAUCAGCAGCAAUUACACAGACUAAGUUAGAGGCCCAGCUCGAAGAACUGAAAGGAGAGUCUGCCGAAAAGGACUCGUUUAUUAAGUCCAUCCAACUGCAACUAUCUGAUGCAAAGGUUACAUGACUUAUAGCAUAAUAGCCCGAUAGCAUUUUAUACGACUCUAAGCAUUUAAGUCUGUGUUUCAUUGACUUGGAACUGCUCCUUUCUUUAGAUUAGGGUUUAUUGCACCAUAUAGCCUAACGUUGACAGAUAUUCUUUGAUCUAUCCCAACGUCGUUUUUUUGUCGGGGUAUCCCAACGUUGCUAUAUUUGUUUCACCAACUAUCCCAUGUGGCUAGAUGGUGAUAUCAAAUUAGCAACGUUGAGAUACCUCAGGUAAAAAAUCGACAUUGGGAUAGAUCUAAUAAUAUUUGUUAACGUUAGGCUAUACGGUGCAAUAUACUCUUCAGAUUAAGCUUAGCAGACAGGCAAGCUGCUUGGAAAAAACACAGUGGGAAGCAAUGACAUCGAGAAAGAGAGGAAAAGCUUCAAGAAAAGCUCAACAACAUGUAGGGGGAAGUUUCAUCAAUCAUGUCACUAUGGUAAGUUCUGAAAGAGAACGAUUCUACUGUAUACUGUGAGGACUACCAUAUCACACCAUACUGCGUGGAUGAGGCUUCUUUGAUGCAGGGCGACUUUGAUAAUGUGGGGAUGCAUAGAAUGGAAGAACCGAGACUAGCGUACUUCGUCAAAGCAUUCCUGCUCGAGGUGAAAUGAGGUCUAUCAAAUAAGGAAGGGAAAACAACAUAGAUUUUGAGUUUAUGAAAUGAAGCCUUGCAAGAUUUCCAAGGGAAAAUGGUAGUUCUGAUUCCGGAAAUCCCAGAAUGAUGUGGUGUGCUCAUCCGUUACAGGGAAUUGUACAGAAUGCCAUAAAGUGCUACGGCAAUGCGUUCUUCUGCAUAUCAAAAUGAGGCUUCUCAAGUAUAUGAAGUGGUCCACGUAUUUUUAAGUUUUCAUAUGAAUCGAUGAAGUCAGUAUCGAUGUGGUUGUGAUCAUCUGUGACAGUCACUUGUACAGAAUACCAAAAGUCGAGGUGUAAUUAAAAUCCUACUAGAUGUUAAAUGAGGUCUAUCUAGUUGAUGAAAUACACCGCAUAUUAUUAUUUACUAAAUGAUGCCUUUCAAUUUAUGUCGGUAAUAAGUUUAUUGUGAAUCAAGAAAGUCGAAAUUUAUGUG